AAGUUUCUGUUUGGGAUGGGAACCCGACCUCGAAUCCUUUCAGAUAUCCAGAAAGCUGAGCCAGCUCUAUACCAACUAACAAGCCCCAAGUCAAGUGACACUUCAGUCUGCCUCCUCACAGACAUUAAUUCUUAUAAUAUAACCUUCAAAAAUAAGGACACAAAUGGUAGCAACCCAACAGUGCUAGAGAUGAUGACAAUGGAAUCCAAGAGCUAUGGAGCAGUGGCCUGGGGUAGUAAAUCAACCUUCAAUUGCACAGAUGCAUUCCUGCAAAACAUGGCCAAUUUGACACAGCCCUCAGGUUCCACAUGCAAUGUCAAGGAUGUGAAACAAAGCUUUGAAACAGACAAAGAUUUGAACUUGAUAAACCUGUCUCUGAUUGGGCUCCGUAUCAUCUUCUUGAAGACUGUGGCAUUUAACCUGCUUAUGACAUUUCGUCUAUGGUCAAACUAAAGUCUGAUAAGGCAUCAAAUGGACUUCAAACUUCCACCUCCCUUUUUCUUCAUCUACCCAUCUCUUUUAGCGUGAGAUGAGACUACCUACCAACACCUGAUGAAUAACUAUACACCUAGAUUCUUCAGGCAUAUAAGAGAUGCCAAAGACUGGAUCCUACCAUGUUUUUCGGAUACCAAAAUAGAAUAAUCUCCCCAAAUGCCAACCCAAUCCUUUAAGUUUCUUCCUUGCUGUUUUUAACAUCUGUCAUUUAAUGGAAAUAGUAAAGGCAUGACCAGAGACUUUUCUGACCAUGAAGAAAUGUUAUACCUGCAUCUUCAGUACUCUUGAAAGACUUUCAGAAGAAUGGAUGAGAGAAGGACCUCAUUCAUAGAUCCCUAAAGGUCUCUUAGUAUCUCCAAAAUCCUUUUAUUCCUUGGAAAAAUUAAUUUCUAAUGACUCCUCCUUCUCUUUCCACCCCACUUCCCACAUCAUAUGAGUGGGAAUUUUAAGAUGUUUUUAUUUUUUUAAUAGAGUUCAUUUUAAAAAUCAUUUAAUUCUUUUUAUUGUUGUAGAAGAGAUUAUAUAAUUGGGUAAGAUCAACUUUACCAUGUAUCUGAGCUGUACUAUAUAUUCUACUACCUUGCCAGGUUGAUAGACUGUAUUAAAGGUGCUUUUGGAAAAGCAAA